rnacentral:rRNA from 1 species
UACGAGAGGCCCAAACGUUAUUCGGAAUUACUGGGCUUAAAGAGUUCGUAGGCGGCGCAGAAAGUAGGGGUGUGAAAAGCCCCUCGGCUCACCGAGGAAUUGCGCUCUAAACUACUGUGCUUUUGAGGGAAAUCUAGAGGGUGAGCGGAAACUGAUGGGUGGGAGCGGGUGAAAUGCGUUUGAUAUCAUCAGGGAAACACCCGGGAGGGCGAAAGGGCGGGCUUUCACUGGGAUUUCUGACGCUGAGGGAAAC